rnacentral:rRNA from 1 species
UACGAAGGGGGCUAGCGUUGUUCGGAAUUACUGGGCGUAAAGCGCACGUAGGCGGAUAUGUAAGUCAGGGGUGAAAUCCCGGGGCUCAACCUCGGAACUGCCUUUGAUACUGCAAAUCUUGAGUCCGGAAGAGGUGAGUGGAAUUCCUAGUGUAGAGGUGAAAUUCGUAGAUAUUAGGAAGAACACCAGUGGCGAAGGCGGCUCACUGGUCCGGUACUGACGCUGAGGUGCGAAAGCGUGGGGAGCAAACAGG